GACGAACGCUGGCGGCGUGCUUAACACAUGCAAGUCGAACGGAAAGGCCCUGCCCUUGUGGGGGGCUCGCGUGGCGAAAGCGGGAGUAUCACGUGUGUAACCUGCCCCUUAUUUUGGGAUAAAUUCUGGGAACUGUGGCUAAUAUACGAGAGGAGCCCCUGCUGCAGGGUCGGGGUGGGGAAAUUUCGUCGGUUGGGGAUGGACUCGCGGCUUAUCAGCUUGUUGGUGGGGUGGUGGCCUACCAAGGCUUUGACGGGUAGCCGGCCUGGCCGGGUGACCGGCCACGUUGGGGCUGAGAUAGGGCCCAGGCUGCGACGAGAGGCAGCAGUGGGGAAUAUUGCACAAUGGGCGGAAGCGUGAUGCAGCAGCGCCGCGUGCGGGAGGACGGCCUUCGGGUUGUAAACCGCUUUCGCCUGUGACGGAGCGUGAGUGACGGUAAUGGGUAAAGAAGCACCGGCUAACUACGUG
rnacentral:rRNA from 1 species